CCCACGCGAUGGGAGUGCGAAUCUCGAAAGCCUGUCUCAGUUCGGAUUGGAGGCUGAAACCCGCCUCCAUGAAGUUGGAUUCGCUAGUAAUCGCGCAUCAGCCAUGGCGCGGUGAAUACGUUCCCGGGCCUUGUACACACCGCCCGUCACACCACGGGAGUCGGUCGCGCCUGAAGCCGGUGGCCUAUCAGUAAUGGGGGAGCCGUCUAUGGCGAGAUUGGUAACUGGGGUGAAGUCGUAACAAGGUAUC
rnacentral:rRNA from 1 species